rnacentral:rRNA from 1 species
GACGAACGCUGGCGGCGUGCCUAAUACAUGCAAGUAGAACGCACAGUUUAUACCGUAGCUUGCUACACCAUAGACUGUGAGUUGCGAACGGGUGAGUAACGCGUAGGUAACCUGCCUGGUAGCGGGGGAUAACUAUUGGAAACGAUAGCUAAUACCGCAUAAUAUUAAUUAUUGCAUGAUAAUUAAUUGAAAGGUGCAAUUGCACCACUACCAGAUGGACCUGCGUUGUAUUAGCUAGUAGGUGAGGUAACGGCUCACCUAGGCGACGAUACAUAGCCGACCUGAGAGGGUGAGCGGCCACACUGGGACUGAGACACGGCCCAGACUCCUACGGGAGGCAGCAGUAGGGAAUCUUCGGCAAUGGACGAAAGUCUGACCGAGCAACGCCGCGUGAGUGAAGAAGGUUUUCGGAUCGUAAAGCUCUGUUGUAAGAGAAGAACGGGUGUGAGAGUGGAAAGUUCACACUGUGACGGUAGCUUACCAGAAAGGGACGGCUAACUACGUG